rnacentral:tRNA from 1 species
AUUAAAGUAGUUUAUAAAAAUGUCGGUUUGUGGUGCCGGAGAAGUAGUUUUACUACCUUUAGUA